ensembl:lncRNA
UGACACCAGGUCUAAGCCGACAAACUUCCAAUUCCUCCUCAACCCAUAGUCUCUGGGAAACCUACAUGGAACAGGGUCAACAUAUGGUCGAAAGAUGAUGACCGGGUACCUGUCUGCAAUGGGAGUGGUUGCUGGUGAAUGCCGGAUAGGGAGGAUUUUGAGAACAACGCAUUGUCCUUAUCACGAAAUGCGCAAACGUGCAAAGGAACACCCACUUGUUUAGCAGCAGGAGGACGUCCAAAGAAACUGGGAGAGGAGUUGUUGCCUCAUGCCUUCCAAGCAGCAGACCUGUACCAGCAGGAUGCUGGCUCUUCACUAACUCCAGUCUCCUGCUUUGGAACUGACCCAUUCUCAACUGAGGAGGAC